rnacentral:sRNA from 2 species
UACCCACACAGGCUUCACAGCAGGAGGCAACCAUGUUUAUCGAUGUCGUAGUUCUCGCCGGUAUCGGCACCGUCGGUCUGAUGGUCGCCUUCUUCGCCGGUGUCGGUUAUUUCAUCUGGCAGGAUUCGCACAAGCGCAAGCAGGGCUGAUUCUGCUGUCAGGGGCACGCAAGGCAAUUUGGGCGACUUCGGUCGCCCUUUUUUAUG